GUGGGGAAUAUUCCGCAAUGGACGAAAGUCUGACGGAGCAACGCCGCGUGAGUGAUGAAGGUUUUCGGACUGUAAAGCUCUGUUGUUUAGGACGAAAGUGCCUGUUGCGAACAGUUACAGGUAUUGACGGUACUAAACGAGGAAGCCACGGCUAACUACGUGCCAGCAGCCGCGGUAAUACGUAGGUGGCAAGCGUUGUCCGGAAUUAUUGGGCGUAAAGAGCAUGUAGGCGGAGAUUUAAGUCUGUUGUGAAAAUGCGGGGCUCAACCCCGUAUUGCGAUGGAAACUGGGUUUCUUGAGUGCAGGAGAGGAAAGGGGAAUUCCCAGUGUAGCGGUGAAAUGCGUAGAUAUUGGGAGGAACACCAGUGGCGAAGGCGCCUUUCUGGACUGUGUCUGACGCUGAGAUGCGAAAGCCAGGGUAGCGAACGGGAUUAGAUACCCCGGUAGUCC
rnacentral:rRNA from 1 species